UACAGAGGGUGCAAGCGUUGUUCGGAAUUAUUGGGCGUAAAGCGCGUGUAGGCGGCUUUGCAAGUCGGGUGUGAAAUCCCUCAGCUUAACUGAGGAAGUGCGCCCGAAACUGCCGAGCUUGAGUACCGGAGAGGGUGGCGGAAUUCCCCAAGUAGAGGUGAAAUUCGUAGAUAUGGGGAGGAAGACCGGUGGCGAAGGCGGUCUGCUGGGCAGUUUCUGACACUGAUGCGCGACAGCGUGGGGAGCAAACAGG
rnacentral:rRNA from 1 species